rnacentral:rRNA from 1 species
UGAAAUCUGGCUUCGGCCCGAGUUGUAAUUUGCAGAGGAUGUAUUUGGCGCGGUGCCUUCCGAGUUCCCUGGAACGGGACGCCAUAGAGGGUGAGAGCCCCGUCUGGUUGGACACCAAGCCUAUGUAAUACUCCUUCGACGAGUCGAGUAGUUUGGGAAUGCUGCUCUAAAUGGGAGGUAAAUCUCUUCUAAAGCUAAAUACCGGCCAGAGACCGAUAGCGCACAAGUAGAGUGAUCGAAAGAUGAAAAGCACCUUGAAAAGGGGGUUAAACAGUACGUGAAAUUGUUGAAAGGGAAGCGUUUAUGACCAGACUUGUGCCGUGUGGCUCAUCCGGGGUUCUCCCCGGUGCACUCCAUACGGUUCAGGCCAACAUCGGUUCUCGUUGGGGGAUAAGAACAGUAGGAACGUGGCCCUCCUCGGAGGGUGUUAUAGCCUAUUGUACGAUACCUUGAUGGGGACCGAGGACCGCGCUUCGGCUAGGAUGUUGGCGUAAUGGUCAUUAGCGACCCGUCUUGAAACACGGACCAAGGAGUCGUCCAUUAGAGCGAGCGUUUGGGUGUAAAACCCGCACGCGUAAUGAAAGUGAAAUUAGGUGAGAGCUUCGGCGCAUCAUCGACCGAUCCUGAAGUUUACGGAUGGAUUUGAGUAAGAGUUUUAACGGACGGACCCGAAAGACAGUGAACUAUGCUUGAAUAGGGUGAAGCCAGAGGAAACUCUGGUGGAGGCUCGCAGCGGUUCUGACGUGCAAAUCGAUCGUCAAAUUUGAGCAUGGGGGCGA